rnacentral:rRNA from 1 species
UACGGAGGGUGCAAGCGUUGUUCGGGAUCAUUGGGCGUAACGGCCGUGUAGGCGCCUAUCUAAGUCUGAUGUGAAAGCCCGGGGCUUAACCCCGGAAGUGCAUUGGAUACUGGAUGGCUAGAGGACGAGAGAGGGAAGUGGAAUUCCUGGUGUAGGGGUGAAAUCCUUAGAUAUCAGGAGGAACAUCGGAGGCGAAGGCGGCUUCCUGGCUCGUUUCUGACGCUGAGACGCCAAAGCGCGGGGAGCAAACAGC